rnacentral:rRNA from 1 species
UACGUAGGGUGCGAGCGUUGUCCGGAAUUACUGGGCGUAAAGGGUGCGUAGGUGGUUUCUUAAGUCAGAGGUGAAAGGCUACGGCUCAACCGUAGUAAGCCUUUGAAACUGGGAAACUUGAGUGCAGGAGAGGAGAGUGGAAUUCCUAGUGUAGCGGUGAAAUGCGUAGAUAUUAGGAGGAACACCAGUUGCGAAGGCGGCUCUCUGGACUGUAACUGACACUGAGGCACGAAAGCGUGGGGAGCAAACAGGAUUAGAUACCCGCGUAGUCCCUGA